GUGAGGAAUAUUGGUCAAUGGGCGGGAGCCUGAACCAGCCAAGUCGCGUGAAGGAAGAAGGAUCUAUGGUUCGUAAACUUCUUUUGCAGGGGAAUAAAGUGCAGGACGUGUCCUGUUUUGUAUGUACCCUGAGAAUAAGGAUCGGCUAACUCCGUUCCAGCAGCCGCGGUAAUACGGAGGAUCCGAGCGUUAUCCGGAUUUAUUGGGUUUAAAGGGUGCGUAGGUGGUUUGAUAAGUCAGCGGUGAAAGUUUGCGGCUUAACUGUAAAAAUGCCGUUGAAACUGUCGGACUUGAGUGUAAAUGAGGUAGGCGGAAUGCGUGGUGUAGCGGUGAAAUGCAUAGAUAUCACGCAGAACUCCGAUUGCGAAGGCAGCUUACUAAGCUACAACUGACACUGAAGCACGAAAGCGUGGGGAUCAAACAGGAUUAGAAACCCCGGUAGUCC
rnacentral:rRNA from 1 species